GGAGGGUUGGCAGAGUGGUAAUGCAGCGGCUUGCUAAGCCGUCACCGUGUAAUAGCGGUGCGUGGGUUCGAAUCCCGCACCCUCCGCCA
rnacentral:tRNA from 1 species